rnacentral:rRNA from 1 species
ACGCGCGGAACCUUACCAGGUCUUGACAUCCCACUGACCGCUAUGGAGACAUAGUUUUCCCUUCGGGGACAGUGGUGACAGGUGGUGCAUGGUUGUCGUCAGCUCGUGUCGUGAGAUGUUGGGUUAAGUCCCGCAACGAGCGCAACCCUUGUUCUUAGUUGCCAUCAUUUAGUUGGGCACUCUAAGGAGACUGCCGGUGACAAACCGGAGGAAGGUGGGGAUGACGUCAAAUCAUCAUGCCCCUUAUGACCUGGGCUACACACGUGCUACAAUGGAUGGUACAAAGGGCAGCAAAGCGGCGACGCCUAGCAAAUCCCAUAAAACCAUUCUCAGUUCGGAUUGUAGGCUGCAACUCGCCUACAUGAAGCUGGAAUCGCUAGUAAUCGCGGAUCAGCAUGCCGCGGUGAAUACGUUCCCGGGCCUUGCACACACCGCCCGU